rnacentral:lncRNA from 1 species
UCCUCGCCAAAUGAUUGUUCAAUAACUUCACCUUGAACAGUGACACGAAGUGACCCGUGAAUGGUGUCCGGUGGCUGAGAUAAUAUAGCAAGAUGGGUUGGGCCCCCUCCUCUUCCAACAGUCCCACCUCGGCCGUGAAACAUUGUAAGUUUUACACCGAACUGUUUUGCAACCUUUACAAGCUCCUCCUGGGCCUUAUAUAACUGCCAUGCUGCAGAAAGCCGUCCAGCAUCCUUUCCUGAAUCAGAAUACCCAAUCAUGACUUCUUGUUUCCCAUUGAUUCUGUUACGAUACCAAUCUAUUGAGAAAAGCCUAGCCACAGCAGCAGGUGCAGCCUCAAGAUCAGCAAGCUUUUCAAACAAUGGGACAACCCUCAGAGGAUUUUGGACAUGGCACUCACGUUGCAAAAGCUCUACUGCAAGGACAUCAGACGGGGCAGUUGCCAUUGAAAUUAUGUAGGCCCCAAAGUUAUCGGAGGGUAGUUCAGCAAUGACAUUAAAAGUGUCUAACACAUCGGCAAUUUCUUCAGUUUUGGGAAGAUCGGGCCCAAAAAGAGGUCGCUUGCCACUGAGUUCAGAUAAAAGCCACUCCUGUCUGCGUUCUUCUGACCAUUCUUUGUACGACCCGAUCUCCAGGUGCCUUGUAAUAGCAUCUAGAACAUCAGUGUGCCUAUCUUACUCUUGCCUUACAUUAAGUCUCACGAGUGCAAGCCCACACGUUGAAACUUGCCGUAAGAAAUCAAGAAGGCUUCCAUCGGCAAUGGGCCGAUCACCGCAAGCGCAAAGUGAUCUAUAACACAGCUCAAGAGGCUCAAGAAACUGAAGACAAGAAAGUGAAUCAUCAGUAUGUGUAUUACAUAAACAUUGCACAAGACAAAUGCGUAACUUACACUAGAAAUUCAAUUCUAUUUUCUUCAACUUUAAUUUUUUAUCUUUUUUUGGGUGUUCGUGGAUGACAAUCAUAAAACAGGGACAUGAAGGGGUUUAUUUUGCAUUUCCAUAUAUAUAUAUAUAUAUAUAUUGAACAAACUUAACAGAUACAAGCGCUUAAGAAAUUCUAGCAUUCUAAUGACUGCAGCUAUUUAGGUGAACGUUAGCCCAAUCCAUAUUUAGUUUUAACUUCUCAUGGCAAAGAAAAGUUAACCUAAACGAUAUGCACGCUCAAUCAGUAAGCUAAAUGCAUAUAGAAAUGUUUGUUUUGAAGGUAUACUUCAAAGUAUAUUCAUACAUCAAUCCAUCAUUAAAUUCUCCAGAAGUCAAUUUCUCUUCUAUAAUUGGUUUCUUGUUACUCUUUAUGGUCAAUAUGGCACCUUAUUCUUCACCACAUUCAUCAGCAAUAGUUUCCUACUGCAGUGUAUGAUUACUCUCUUCUAUCAGAACCUUUCGCUCUCAAAAAGCAUAAAUUCCAUUCAAUCUAUUCAAAUUCUCCAUUUGUUAGUAAUUCAAAACAAACCAACCAAAAAGCAAGGUGGAUUAAACCAAUUAAUUAAAUACCACAAAUCAUCACUUAAAAUAACCUAUUCAUUGGACAAGGUGAAAAGACAUAUGUUUAUUUUUAUUUUGGUUAUAUAUUAAAAUCUUAAUAGUUAUAAUACGAAGAGAAGCUAAGAAAUGAAGCCCCUGUUGUAGAAUGAGUUGGCUGAGAGUGAUAAUAUACUAAUCCAUUGAGAUAGUUGAUCAAGCCCACAAGCAAUUGCGCAUAGAAAAGCAAUUGCAUAUCUCCAAUGACAGCAAUAAUGCAUCUAACACGUUAUAAACUCGUGUCAAGCUGUUCAUAACUUGCAAGCUGAAAAUUUAAACAACACCACUGACACCACCAACCAUCAACCACUACCACCACCCUGAACCACUCACCAUUGUCAAAAUCAACACCACCCACCACCAUCAACCACUGCCACCACAAAUAGACCAUUACAACCACCAUCAACACCCAUCGCCUCCCAAAUCCAAAAAACAAAAAAAAAACAAAAAAAGAAAACUCAAAAGAGAGGGAAAUUCUGGACAAAUUUGUAGUGUCGAUCACCCAUCGCAAUGAACUGCAGCUUCUUUCUCUUUGAUCGGUUCGCGAUGCUGCUAUCGCGAUGAAUGGGUCGUGACACUACGUUCAUAGCAGCAUCGCAUCCCCACGUUGGUGCCGACACCAGUACAUCUCCUUCGUCAUUAGCUGAAGUGUGUGACCAUCCAUAGUCAGGGUCAAUCACCCACAGUUAACGUCCAGGAGAGAGAGAGAGAGAAGGCAGAGAAAGGAUUUGAAGAAAGUGGAUGAAGAUUUGGUUUUGUAUUUCAAAAGGCGUUUCCCCUAUUUUGUAAUUUUUUGGAGUUUUGUAUAGAAAACAGCUAAAACGACAUUUUGAUCGUUUUUCGUUUUCUUCACAAUUUUUUUGUAUUUUCAAAAACAUGUUUUCGAAAAUGGGUAAGAGAACAAGUUUUCACUGUUUUGAAAAAUCGAAAACAAAAAACGGGCCGAAAAUGAGAAAGAGAACACACCCUAAGCUAUUUGCAAUGAGUUUGGACUUGGCUACAUUAAUCCUUCAAACUUGAGGUUGUACAUGUUUUUGGCUUUAUUAAGUUUAUGGUAUGAAGUUGAGUCAUAUCAUUGCAAUAUUCUAUUUUAGGAAGAGCGAAGAUGACCUACUAGGCUCCAUAUGGUUUGCUCAUCAGAAGUUUUUACUCGUGGAGGAGCAAUUGAGCAGCCAAGGUUAUUGGUUCAUGUUGUCUUCGUCAUGUUGUAUAACAGGUGGAACGGGUAAGAACUUGAGAAAGAGCAUAAGUUUGCCAAAUCUCCUUGUCAUGUUCAAUAUCAAUUCUUGGAUUAUAGGUAGGUAUCUCAUCAAACUGAUCUGUACACAGGAUUCUGGUUCCGGAUUAUGGAUUCAUGCACCUCGAGUUGAUAUCAAUGCUCGCGGGAUUCUUGACAUACAAGAUUGCCACUUUUUUCCAGGCUAUUGAAGAGGCAAUAAUUGUAGCUAGUGGAAAAACACAAGUUUAAUUUGGCUUAUUGUACAUACUUCAUUCUUGUUACUGAUGAUGGGAAAAGUCACAUAUGCAUAUGUAUACAAGAUUUAUGCAAGAAAAAGAAGACACGUAUAUUCAUUCAUAUGUACUUGGUGUGAGUACAUGCUUAUAGAGCAAUAUUAUCACAUAUUUUCCAACAGAGUGCCAUAAUACGUAACUCGUUAUUUCUUUAUAAUUUAACCGACACCAUAUAUCUAGCAAAGGCAAGAUGACCCGACCUUAACCGGUGUUCUGCAUUCCAGCUGCAAUACCCUUCAUGGUCAAGAUAAGUGUGUCUUCCAACCCGGGAGCAUACUCACUUUUAGGGUUGAGCUUCACCAGUUCAGCAGCCGGUUUGCUCAUAUCCAUUUCCAUUACAUCUUUCGAGAGAUGUGGCUUCACCUUAACGCGGUAGCUUGGAUCACGUAUCUGCUUCAAUGUGUAGACUUGGCACACGUUAAGGACGGUGAUGUACGGAUCGCGAAGUCGAAGUCUCUGCCUUAAGUAGGGGUCGCCUUCUAGAAGUUCCUUGUGUCCAGCAACCUAGGCAGAGAGAGACCAUAUCAGCUUCCUUCCAUUAAAUGGAAGUUGAACUAAUCAUGAAAAAAGUAGCAAUUGCAGUUACUUUAUUUCUAAAAAUAAAUAAAAGAAAAAAAAAAUUCCAUAUGUAUUCUCAGCUCGAAGUUUUUCCCCCUUCUGCUUCUUGGGAGUUAUGACAGAAAAAUUCAUGUUCUAGUGAAGAAAGGUUUUUAAAUAGAAGACAACCCUUACAAGGCGGAAGUUGCACUAAACACUAAUCAUGAAAAAAGUAGCAAUUGAAGUUUACUUAAUCACUGUCCAAACUGAAAAGAAUGAAUGUAAAAUAAUAAUAAUAAUAAUAAUAAUUUCCACCAUGUAUUCUCAGCUCGAAGUUUUCUCCCCUUCUAUUUCUUGGAAGAACAGAAAAAAUCGUGUCCUAGUUAUGCAAAAGGUUAUUAAAUAGAAGACGGCCCUUACCUGAAGGAUCAGAUUCUUAGUUUCUUCAUAAUUGUUCCCCAGUUGCUUCCCAAAUGGCCACAAGUCUUCUGACACUAAAAGUUUGUCAUAUAAAGCAGCAAUUUCUGGGUCUCCUUUGGACAAAACCAUUUCAAUCAAGUCAAUGGUUACUCGGAAGAAAGGCCAUUCUUUGUACAUAUCAUUGAGAGUCUGAAGAUUUCUAAUAUCCUUCCCAAUGGCGUGUUUGAUUGCAGCUCCAAAGCCAAGCCAGACAGGAAGAUGAAAUCUCGUCUGCGUCCAUGCAAAUAUCCACGGGAUUGCUCGGAGUGAUUCAAUUCCACCGCUAACCUUUCGUUUUGAUGGGCGGCUCCCUAUGUUCAUCCGACCAUACUCCAACUCAGGUGUUGCCUGCAAUACUCAGAGAGAGAGAAACAAGAAAAUAUUACAAUACCCCAAUUCACAAUUUAGGGGUAAGCCAAUUAUCAGUCUUCUCAAUUCAAACUGGCAACUUUGAUGCCAACUUAUAUUGCCACUUCUAGGAGUUACCAGUCAACAUGUGUAAACCUAUUAAGUUUAAUGUGCUUAUAUGUGAUUUUUUUGCAGAUUCUAACAAAAAAUAACCAAAGUGGAAAAAUACUUACAAGCCGGAAGUACUCAACAAAACGAGGUUCCUGGAAAACUACAGAACGAUACUCUUUUGUGGCAAACACAGCCAUCUCAUCCAUGAGAGCACGCCAUUCUGGCUUCGGUACAACAGGGGGGCGCAUUCCAUGCUCAAGUGUAGCUGCAGUAAAACGUUGGAGCGUUCUGAAACAUAAGUGCUCCUCGCCAAAUGAUUGUUCAAUAACUUCACCUUGAACAGUGACACGAAGUGACCCGUGAAUGGUGUCCGGUGGCUGAGAUAAUAUAGCAAGAUGGGUUGGGCCCCCUCCUCUUCCAACAGUCCCACCUCGGCCGUGAAACAUUGUAAGUUUUACACCGAACUGUUUUGCAACCUUUACAAGCUCCUCCUGGGCCUUAUAUAACUGCCAUGCUGCAGAAAGCCGUCCAGCAUCCUUUCCUGAAUCAGAAUACCCAAUCAUGACUUCUUGUUUCCCAUUGAUUCUGUUACGAUACCAAUCUAUUGAGAAAAGCCUAGCCACAGCAGCAGGUGCAGCCUCAAGAUCAGCAAGCUUUUCAAACAAUGGGACAACCCUCAGAGGAUUUUGGACAUGGCACUCACGUUGCAAAAGCUCUACUGCAAGGACAUCAGACGGGGCAGUUGCCAUUGAAAUUAUGUAGGCCCCAAAGUUAUCGGAG